CACCGCGGUUAUACGAGAGGCUCAAGUUGAUGUCCGCCGGCGUAAAGAGUGAUUACAGGAGUGUGUAUAACUAAAGCCGAAGACCUCCUGGGCUGUUUUACGCAUCUGGGGGCUAUUAAGCCCUUUAACGAAGGUAGCUUUAAAAGAUUACAUCCUCGAGUUCACGAUAGCUAAGGCA
rnacentral:rRNA from 2 species